GAGCGGCGAACGGGUGAGUAACGCGUGGGAAAUCUGCCGAGUAGCGGGGGACAACGUUUGGAAACGAACGCUAAUACCGCAUAACAAUGAGAAUCGCAUGAUUCUUAUUUGAAAGAAGCAAUUGCUUUACUACUUGAUGAUCCCGCGUUGUAUUAGCUAGUUGGUAGUGUAAAGGACUACCAAGGCGAUGAUACAUAGCCGACCUGAGAGGGUGAACGGCCACACUGGGACUGAGACACGGCCCAGACUCCUACGGGAGGCAGCAGUAGGGAAUCUUCGGCAAUGGGCGAAAGCCUGACCGAGCAACGCCGCGUGAAUGAUGAAGGCCUUCGGGUUGUAAAAUUCUGUUAUAAGGGAAGAACGACUCUAGUAGGAAAUGGCUAGAGUGUGACGGUACCUUAUGAGAAAGCCACGGCUAACUACGUGCCAGCAGCCGCGGUAAUACGUAGGUGGCAAGCGUUGUCCGGAUUUAUUGGGCGUAAAGCGAGCGCAGGCGGUUUCUUAAGUCUGAUGUGAAAGCCUUCGGCUCAACCGAAGAAGUGCAUCGGAAACUGGGAAACUUGAGUGCAGAAGAGGACAGUGGAACUCCAUAUGUAGCGGUGAAAUGCGUAGAUAUAUGGAAGAACACCAGUGGCGAAGGCGGCUGUCUGGUCUGUAACUGACGCUGAGGCUCGAAAGCAUGGGUAGCAAACAGGAUUAGAUACCCUGGUAGUCCAUGCCGUAAACGAUGAGUGCUAGGUGUUGGAGGGUUUCCGCCCUUCAGUGCCGCAGCUAACGCAUUAAGCACUCCGCCUGGGGAGUACGACCGCAAGGUUGAAACUCAAAGGAAUUGACGGGGGCCCGCACAAGCGGUGGAGCAUGUGGUUUAAUUCGAAGCAACGCGAAGAACCUUACCAGGUCUUGACAUCCUUUGACCACUCUAGAGAUAGAGCUUUCCCUUCGGGGACAAAGUGACAGGUGGUGCAUGGUUGUCGUCAGCUCGUGUCGUGAGAUGUUGGGUUAAGUCCCGCAACGAGCGCAACCCUUAUUACUAGUUGCCAGCAUUAAGUUGGGCACUCUAGUGAGACUGCCGGUGACAAACCGGAGGAAGGUGGGGACGACGUCAAAUCAUCAUGCCCCUUAUGACCUGGGCUACACACGUGCUACAAUGGAUGGUACAACGAGUUGCGAGACCGCGAGGUUUAGCUAAUCUCUUAAAACCAUUCUCAGUUCGGAUUGUAGGCUGCAACUCGCCUACAUGAAGCCGGAAUCGCUAGUAAUCGCGGAUCAGCAUGCCGCGGUGAAUACGUUCCCGGGCCUUGCACUCACCGCCCGUCA
rnacentral:rRNA from 1 species